rfam:Triticum aestivum genome assembly, contig: Triticum_aestivum_CS42_TGACv1_scaffold_147941_2BS
UUAUUACUCCCUCCGUCCGAAAAUACUUGUCAUCAAAGUGGCUAAAAAGACAUGUAUCUAGAACUAAUCUACGUCUAGAUACAAAUCCUUUUAUCCAUUUUGAUGAUAAGUAUUUCCGGACGGAAGGAGUACAAA